rnacentral:rRNA from 1 species
GACGAACGCUGGCGGCGUGCUUAACACAUGCAAGUCGAACGAUGAACCGGAGCUUGCUCUGGGGGAUUAGUGGCGAACGGGUGAGUAACACGUGGGCAACCUGCCCCAGACACCGGGAUAACCAUUGGAAACGAUGGCUAAUACCGGAUACGACCACUUCGGGCAUCCGAUGGUGGUGGAAAGGAUUCUGGUCUGGGAUGGGCCCGCGGCCUAUCAGCUUGUUGGUGGGGUAAUGGCCUACCAAGGCGACGACGGGUAGCCGGCCUGAGAGGGCGACCGGCCACACUGGGACUGAGACACGGCCCAGACUCCUACGGGAGGCAGCAGUGGGGAAUAUUGCGCAAUGGGCGAAAGCCUGACGCAGCGACGCCGCGUGAGGGACGAAGGUCUUCGGAUUGUAAACCUCUUUCGGCCCGGGAAGAAAUCGCAUGGGUUAAUACCCUGUGCGGAUGACGGUACCGGCAUAAGAAGCACCGGCUAACUACGUGCCAGCAGCCGCGGUAAU